rnacentral:rRNA from 1 species
ACAAGCGGUGGAGUAUGUGGUUUAAUUCGACGCAACGCGAAGAACCUUACCUGGGCUUGACAUCCGCUGACAGUCCCGAAAACGGGAUCUUCCCCGCAAGGGGACAGCGAGACAGGUGCUGCAUGGCUGUCGUCAGCUCGUGUCGUGAGAUGUUGGGUUAAGUCCCGCAACGAGCGCAACCCUCAUCCUUAGUUGCCAUCAUUGAGUUGGGAACUCUAAGGAAACUGCCUCGGUUAACGGGGAGGAAGGUGGGGAUGACGUCAAGUCCUCAUGGCCUUUAUGUCCAGGGCUACACACGUGCUACAAUGGGCGAUACAGAGUGACGCGAAGCCGCGAGGUGGAGCAAAUCGCAGAAAAUCGCUCUCAGUUCGGAUUGGAGUCUGAAACCCGACUCCAUGAAGGUGGAAUCGCUAGUAAUCGCGCAUCAGCAUGGCGCGGUGAAUACGUUCCCGGGCCUU